rnacentral:rRNA from 1 species
GGAUAAGACAUGCAAGUCGAACGCUGAUUACGUGGCAGCAAUGUUGCGUAAUCGGAGUGGCGCAAGGGUGCGUAACAACGUGGGCAAUCUGCCGUGAAGUUGGGGAUAACCUCGAGAAAUCGAGGCUAAUACCGAAUGUGACGAUUCCGAGGCAUCUUGGAAUCCUUAAAGCUGGGGACCGUAAGGCCUGGCGCUUCAUGAUGAGCCCGCGGCCUAUCAGCUAGUUGGCGGGGUAACAGCCCACCAAGGCAAAGACGGGUAGCUGGUCUGAGAGGACGACCAGCCACACUGGAACUGAGACACGGUCCAGACACCUACGGGUGGCAGCAGUCGAGAAUUUUUCACAAUGGGCGAAAGCCUGAUGGAGCGACGCCGCGUGGGGGAUGAAUGGCUUCGGUCCGUAAACCCCUGUCAUUCGCGAGCAAUGUCUCGGGUCUAAUACAUCCGGGAUUGAUAGUAGCGAAAGAGGAAGGGACGGCUAACUCUGUGCCAGCAGCCGCGGUAAUACAGAGGUCCCAAGCGUUGUUCGGAUUCACUGGGCGUAAAGGGUGCGUAGGUGGCGAGGUAAGUUCGGUGUGAAAUCCCCAGGCUCAACCUGGGAACUGCAUUGAAACUCUCUCGCUAGAGGAUCGGAGGGGAGACUGGAAUUCUUGGUGUACCAGUGAAUGCGUAGAUAUCAAGAGGAACACCAGUGGCGAAGGCGAGUCUCUGGACGAUUCCUGACACUGAGGCACGAAAGCUAGGGGAGCAAACAGGGAUUAGAUACCCUGGUAGUCCUAGCCGUA